rnacentral:rRNA from 1 species
CUGCUGCCUUCCGUAGGAGUUUGGGCCGUGUCUCAGUCCCAAUGUGGCCGUUCACCCUCUCAGGCCGGCUACUGAUCGUCGCCUUGGUGGGCUUCUACCCCGCCAACCAGCUAAUCAGACGCGGAUCCAUCUUACACCACCGAAGUUUUUCACACUGAGCCAUGCGGCUCUGUGCGCUUAUGCGGUAUUAGCACCUAUUUCUAAGUGUUAUCCCCCAGUGUAAGGCAGGUUAUCCACGCGUUACUCACCCG